GAGAGGACCUCCUGGCUUCCUGACCCCAUGAUCUGAUGUGUGAAAGUUACAAAUGGCCCUGGAUUAUUGAAUUGAACUGCAUCAAAUCCACAAGUAGUUCCAUCCAUUUGCCUGCAAAUUUCAUGAUUUCCUUGAUGGAGUCAAUUGGCAGCUCAGUCUCCGUGUGGAAUUUCUGAGCCGUAUGCUAUGAAGAAUGGCUAUGAAGACCCUGCAUCACCUUACAGGGGACAGGGGAAUAAAAGACUAGUUCUGGAAAAGCCAUAGUAUAUAGCCAUGAUGAUCUAAGAACACAAGCAGGGGAAUACACCCCUCAACGGUCUUCAGCAGAAGAACGCUUUGGCCGGAUUUUCACUGUGACUAGAACAUUCUGACCACUGCAUGGCACAUAGGGACCAGGAGGCAGAGGCUGAAGGGGAAGCCGAAUCAGACCAUUGUAACUACUUGGAUUUAAAAAAAAAAAUCACUAAAAACCUGAUUCAAAUUACUGGCAGUAGGAAUAUUUUGAGAUUGAAAAAGGUGGAGUUAAAGCAUUGAUAGAGUUGAUUUUAUAAAAAAAAAUUAAAAAGGGUGUGUUGCAGAAAAAUAUAAAAUUGAGAAACAGGGCUGAAUAGACAACUCAGUCUAUAAACUGCCUACUGUGCAAACAUGAGGAUGGGUCUGACUUCAGUGCCGAGAGCUGUCAUAAAAAAUCCAGAUGUGGGUUAGA